rnacentral:rRNA from 1 species
AACAAACGCUGGCGGCGUGCCUAACACAUGCAAGUCGAACGAGAAAGUCGGUUUCGGCCGAUGAGUAAAGUGGCGCACGGGUGAGUAACGCGUGGAUAAUCUACCCUUUAGUCCGGAAUAACUUGCCGAAAGGUGAACUAAUACCGGAUGACAUCCCGGGUUCUCCGGAAACCGGGAUCAAAGAAGGCCUCUGCUUGCAAGCUUUUGCUGAAGGAUGAGUCCGCGUACCAUUAGCUAGUUGGUGGGGUAAUGGCCUACCAAGGUUAUGAUGGUUAGCUGGUCUGAGAGGAUGAUCAGCCACACUGGAACUGAAACACGGUCCAGACUCCUACGGGAGGCAGCAGUGAGGAAUAUUGCGCAAUGGGGGCAACCCUGACGCAGCAACGCCGCGUGAGUGAGGAAGGUUUUCGGACCGUAAAGCUCUGUCGAGCGGGAAGAAAUGUAUCAUGGCUAAUAUCCAUGAUACUUGACGGUACCGCUAAAGGAAGCACCGGCUAACUCCGUG